rnacentral:rRNA from 1 species
CGACCCCAGGUCAAGCGG